rnacentral:lncRNA from 1 species
GAUAAAAGUUCAACCAAUUUACAAGUGCGAGGUUUCUUGAUCGAAACCUCUUCAUACCUGAGGAAAUUUAAAUCACUGAGUAGUGAGCGUGACACCUUACAAAUCAUGGUUCUUAUGCCACUAUUACUUUGCCACACUUACUUUGAGGCGAAACAAUUAGCUACCUCGAAUUAAAUUGGUGUAUGUAGUAUUGUACAUACUUAGACGAUAAAACACAAGUAAGAUGUUUCC